AUUGAACGCUGGCGGCAGGCCUAACACAUGCAAGUCGGACGGUAGCACAGAGGAGCUUGCUCCUCGGGUGACGAGUGGCGGACGGGUGAGUAAUGUCUGGGGAUCUGCCCGAUAGAGGGGGAUAACCACUGGAAACGGUGGCUAAUACCGCGUAACGUCGCAAGACCAAAGAGGGGGACCUUCGGGCCUCUCACUAUCGGAUGAACCCAGAUGGGAUUAGCUAGUAGGCGGGGUAACGGCCCACCUAGGCGACGAUCCCUAGCUGGUCUGAGAGGAUGACCAGCCACACUGGAACUGAGACACGGUCCAGACUCCUACGGGAGGCAGCAGUGGGGAAUAUUGCACAAUGGGCGCAAGCCUGAUGCAGCCAUGCCGCGUGUAUGAAGAAGGCCUGCGGGUUGUAAAGUACUUUCAGCGGGGAGGAAGGCGAUGUGGUUAAUAACCGCGUCGAUUGACGUUACCCGCAGAAGAAGCACCGGCUAACUCCGUGCCAGCAGCCGCAGUAA
rnacentral:rRNA from 1 species